AGGGGUCUCGUUGGUGACCAGCGGAGGGUCAUUACCGAGUUUACAACUCCCAAACCCAAUGUGAACGUUACCAAACUGUUGCCUCGGCGGGAUCUCUGCCCCGGGUGCGUCGCAGCCCCGGACCAAGGCGCCCGCCGGAGGACCAACCAAAACUCUUAUUGUAUACCCCCUCGCGGGUUUUUUACUAUCUGAGCCAUCUCGGCGCCCCUCGUGGGCGUUUCGAAAAUGAAUCAAAACUUUCAACAACGGAUCUCUUGGUUCUGGCAUCGAUGAAGAACGCAGCGAAAUGCGAUAAGUAAUGUGAAUUGCAGAAUUCAGUGAAUCAUCGAAUCUUUGAACGCACAUUGCGCCCGCCAGUAUUCUGGCGGGCAUGCCUGUCCGAGCGUCAUUUCAACCCUCGAACCCCUCCGGGGGGUCGGCGUUGGGGAUCGGCCCUUUACGGGGCCGGCCCCGAAAUACAGUGGCGGUCUCGCCGCAGCCUCUCCUGCGCAGUAGUUUGCACACUCGCAUCGGGAGCGCGGCGCGUCCACAGCCGUUAAACACCCCAAACUUCUGAAAUGUUGACCUCGGAUCAGGUAGGAAUACCCGCUGAACUUAAGCAUAUCAAUAAGCGGAGGA
rnacentral:rRNA from 1 species